rnacentral:rRNA from 1 species
UACAGAGGUGGCAAGCGUUGUUCGGAAUUACUGGGCGUAAAGGGCGCGUAGGCGGUUCGUUAAGUCCUGUGUGAAAGCCCCCGGCUCAACUGGGGAGGGUCAUUCGAUACUGAUCGACUUGAAGGCAGGAGAGGGAAGUGGAAUUCCGGGUGUAGUGGUGAAAUGCGUAGAUAUCCGGAGGAACACCAGUGGCGAAGGCGACUUCCUGGCCUGUUCUUGACGCUGAGGCGCGAAAGCUGGGGGAGCAAACGGG